rnacentral:rRNA from 1 species
UGUAAGCGUAUGCCAAAGUUGUUGCAGUUAAAACGCUCGUAGUCGGAAUUUGGCAGUUCCGGAAGUGUGCACGUCGUGUGCGCACUUUGCGGGGACUGCUUUUGUGGUCUUGCGUAGGAUGAGGCACUUUCAUUAGUGAACGUCCUCACGCAACCACUCUUUACUGUGAGAAAAUCAGAGUGCUCAAAGCAGGCAUUUGCCGUGAAUGUAUUAGCAUGGAAUAAUAGAAUAGGACUCGGUUCUAUUUUGUUGGUUUGUUGGGACUGAGUAAUGAUUAAGAGGGACAGUUGGGGGCAUUUGUAUUCCGGCGCUAGAGGUGAAAUUCUUAGAUUGCCGGAAGACAAACUGCUGCGAAAGCGUCUGCCAAGGAUGUUUUCAUUGA